UAUGACCAUAUCACGUCGAACCACUUGUCCUCAUACGAUCAUCGAAGUUAAGCAAUGUCGAGUCUUGUCAGUAUCUAAAUGGGUGACUACUUGAGAAUACCAGGUGCUGUAAG